rnacentral:rRNA from 1 species
AGAGUUUGAUUAUGGCUCAGAAUCAACGCUGGCGGCGUGCCUAACACAUGCAAGUCGAACGAGAAAGUGGAGCAAUCCAUGAGUAAAGUGGCGACCGGGUGAGUAACACGUGACUAACCUACCUUUCAGUGGGGAAUAACCUCGGGAAACCGUGGCUAAUACCGCAUAAUGUCUUCGGACCAAAGGAGCAAUUCGCUGGAAGAGGGGGUCGCGGCCGAUUAGCUAGUUGGCGGGGUAACGGCCCACCAAGGCAAUGAUCGGUAGCCGGCCUGAGAGGGCGCACGGCCACACUGGAACUGAAACACGGUCCAGACUCCUACGGGAGGCAGCAGUGGGGAAUUUUGCGCAAUGGGGGAAACCCUGACGCAGCAACGCCGCGUGGAGGAUGAAGCCCCUUGGGGUGUAAACUCCUUUCGAUCGGGACGAUGAUGACGGUACCGGAUGAAGAAGCACCGGCUAACUCUGUGCCAGCAGCCGCGGUAAUACAGAGGGUGCAAGCGUUGUUCGGAAUUAUUGGGCGUAAAGGGUGCGUAGGCGGUGCGGUAAGUCUGUUGUGAAAUCUCCGGGCUCAACUCGGAGCCUGCAACGG